UUUUUUUUUCCCCCUUGACUAUUUCAGUAAAGAAUUUUUCCUUUAUUGUCCAUUAUUAUCUUUGUGAAGGUUGUUGGGAAGGGCGCGAGAGCUUCAAAGGGAUCUUAAUCAAAUUGCCGAUACCACUGAUACAUAUUCUUCCGAGGGUUUAAGGCUUUAAGCUAUGUGUUGACAGGUUAUUCAGAUGCAAGUCAUCUCCUAAAAUACUUGACUGAUGUGCCUGUUGAAAUUCAUUGAUACCAAUUUGGUGUCAAUAUUGUUUCCUGUAAUGAAAGAUGUGCUCUCAGGUGGAUCUAAAGCGGAGUAUGGAGGAUUGUGAGGAAUGCUUCAAUUAACUUGCUAGUGAAGAACGGGGUAAAUUUGACGAAGAGAAACUUGUCAGUGUAAACAACAUAAGUACAUAGUGAUUACAAUUUUGGUGGCUGCUGACGGGGUACGUGAGUUGCCCGUCAUCAGUGGGAGUGAGAACUUGAAGGAAGCUUUACAAAAGCUUGGCUUCAUUCCCUCCAGCAGGAUACUUGCAGUAGAAGUUUUGUGGACCUCUCAAAAUGAAAACGACUCUUUACCAGAGCGAGUACCACUAGGCCUUUAUAAGAGCAUAUGGGAGGGUAAUGAACUGAGUUGGAUCUAAAAGUCCAUUUGUAUAUUAGAAAUUGUCUAUAGCACGCGGAAAUAUUACUUUAUCUGAGAUUUGAAUAGAUGGAAGUGUGAUUUAUAACAAAAUAUGUAUACGUUUAGACAAAGGUUUCUGAUUCACUUCCAAGUUUUGGAACUUGUUGAUGGUACUAAUUUGCAUAAUAAGAAUGCACCCUGGGCAUGAAAUUCAAUAUGCUUCUUUAACACAAUUAAGGUUGACGACAUAUUCUUAGAGAAACUCAAGAAAAGAGGAUCCAUAAGGAGGAUCCAUAUUCCAUACGUGUACUUAGGAGCAUUACAUACUUCUUAUUUUUGGAUGAGAGUACACCCUUUCUUUAAAAAUUGAUGUAAAUGUGAGGUGUAAUAAACUGACUAGUGUUGUAGUACUAGA